UACGGAGGAGGCAAGCGUUAUCCGGAAUUAUUGGGCGUAAAGCGUCCGCAGGUGGCACUUCAAGUCUGUCGUCAAAGACUGGGGCUUAACCCUGGAAAGGCGGUGGAAACUGAAGCGCUAGAGUGUGGUAGGGGUAGAGGGAAUUCCCGGUGUAGCGGUGAAAUGCGCAGAUAUCAGGAAGAACACCUAUGGCGAAGGCAGCUCUCUGGGACGGUACUGACGCUGAGACGCGAAAGCGUGGGGAGCGAACAGG
rnacentral:rRNA from 1 species